rnacentral:rRNA from 1 species
GGAUGAACGCUGGCGGCGUGCCUAAUCCAUGCAAGUCGAGCGAACAGAUGAGGAGCUUGCUCCUCUGACGUUAGCGGCGGACGGGUGAGUAACACGUGGAUAACCUACCUAUAAGACUGGGAUAACUUCGGGAAACCGGAGCUAAUACCGGAUAAUAUAUUGAACCGCAUGGUUCAAUAGUGAAAGACGGUUUUGCUGUCACUUAUAGAUGGAUCCGCGCCGCAUUAGCUAGUUGGUAAGGUAACGGCUUACCAAGGCAACGAUGCGUAGCCGACCUGAGAGGGUGAUCGGCCACACUGGAACUGAGACACGGUCCAGACUCCUACGGGAGGCAGCAGUAGGGAAUCUUCCGCAAUGGGCGAAAGCCUGACGGAGCAACGCCGCGUGAGUGGUGAAGGUCUUCGGAUCGUAAAACUCUGUUAUUAGGGAAGAACAAAUGUGUAAGUAACUAUGCACGUCUUGACGGGACCUAAUCAGAAAGCCACGGCUAACUACG